UACCUGAAGCACACUCUGGCCCCAGAACAACCUAUUUUCACCAAGAGCCUCAAAAGGACUUAAGAACAUAUAAAUCAUAACAUGAUAUAGAUCUGCUUGAGAACCAGUGCACCAUUUGACAAGAAUAAGAAGAGAAAGGUAUCCAAAGAGGCUGUUGAGAAAGAUUAUUUGUGGAAUAAACUGAUACCCUUGACAAGAAUGAGAAGAGAAAGGUAUCCAAAGAGGCUGUUGAGAAAGAUUAUUUGUGGAAUAAACUGAUACCUGAAAAAAUCAAUAACAGAAUAAAUAACUAUUUACAUGCAAACCACGAACAGGAGAGAAAAGGAAAUGAUUACACACUUAAUAUCAAUU
rnacentral:lncRNA from 1 species